UCUCACUUUCCCUAAAGGGCUGUGGUAAGCCUUUCCCACUGUGUCAGUGGAAAGCCGCACUAAUGAUUUUGUUUUGCCAAAGAUUUCACAGCAUGGCCCUGCUUGGGCUGGGAAGGAAGGAGUGAGCUGGACUUGACUUGAUAAUAGGCACAAGGGGCACCAGAAUGAAGCUUGGAGACUGACACCCUCAGGAGCAGCAUAAGGAAUAAGCAGGGAGUGUUGGGUCUGCAACUGUGUUGAAGUUGCCUCAUUCAAGGCAUGACUCUCUCUCAAUAGCCAUUGAAGAUGUCAGCCUGGUCAGGCCACACUGCAACCAGAGUGUUGUUGGGGCUCCAGAGAAUGAUCUGGUAGAGAGAGUCUGGUCAGAUUAGUCAUAGCCAAGUCCCAUUAUUCCCUGCUCAAGUUCCCACUCAAGUUCAUUUUCCCAAAACACUUUUCCCUAACAAGAAGAAGAAGA